CUUGAUACACCUUUAUUUUUGGCAAUGAACAACACUGAGCAGGGCCCUAGUGUCCAGACUGAUUUUCUGGCAUAACCCUGGAUGUGCCUUGUUACUGUGGGCCUGGCAGGCCAUUCUUGGAUCUGACCCAUGCAUUGUCUUCCUGGUUGACUUUGAACCUGCCUCAUCACCCUGAAUGUCUCAAGAUGUCCUUAAUUAUCUAGGAUCUUGGCUGCUUUCCAGGCUGGCUUUGUCUGGAUGUGUGUGAUGGGCUUUUGGCUCGUAAAGCCCUUAUACUGCAAGUCCUUGCUGCUCCUUGACAAUGCGUUUGGUGCCUUCAAUGUAGAAGAUCUCUUCAAAAAUCCUACAUUUGCUGUUUUAACUGUGGAACUGUCCCCUCUUCAAAGCAGAUGUUGAAGAGAUGAAGGCCAACAUAAUACUACUAAAGGUUGCCUAAAAGGGACUGGAAGCCACCAAUGGGAGAGGAAAGAAGACAGUGAAUGCUGUUACUUAGGUAAUAGGCUUUAGGUUCACAGCAAAUGAAAACUGAAGAGGAGAGGAUGUUGCUCACCUGUAGCUGGAUCUGAAAGAGCCCAGGAACAUGAAAGUCAAAAUAAUCAGCAAAUGCUCACCAUUUAUUGUCCUUUCCUCCAUGCCACUGAGCAUUGUUUGGCUUUCCUGUCUCUUGAUAUCCCAUUGCCUUAGUCAGAGAGCAAGUCUUGAGCAAGCCAUGCAAUUUCCUUCUACACUUCAGGGCCUGCCAGGGAAGGCAAGGGGCUUCCAGCUGCCUUGGACAAGCAGGGGUUGCCGAUCCUACGGGCUAGUGGCCAGUACAUUUGCUUUGUUCAUUGUAGCCUUCGUUGGGAUGUGAAGAGUGCCAGCCACGGAUUUCAUUAAUUCCACCAUCAGUAGGUCUGAAUUCAUUGCCACUAAUACAAUGCCUUUUUCUAUACACUGUGCCAGGGGUAUUUUUUUGACACCAUGUGUGACCUCCUGUUAUUUCUCAACAAAUGUUGGCAGGCGCAACACAGCCGGCAGAGCAAAACAGCACAGUGUGUCACAAACUGCUGAGUGCAUCCAUGCUGAAAUGAACAGCCAAUUCCAAAGUGGGCUGAAAAUGAAAUCAGGGAGAAAAGAAUACAUACUAAUAUUGCUCCCUGCUCCUCCAGCUUUGCUUCCUUUUGCACAUUACCUCCAUUGAACUGGACUCAGGCAACAACUAGAACAAGAUUGUAUUUUUUUUUCUAGCCUUCCAAAAAUUCUCCAUACUAUAACUGCUGUUUCAAAGCUAAUCCAAAGCAAUUUACCAAUCAGUUCCU